rnacentral:rRNA from 1 species
UACGGGGGGGGCAAGCGUUGUUCGGAAUUACUGGGCGUAAAGGGUUUGUAGGUGGUCUGUUAAGUCAGACGUGAAAUCCCUCAGCUUAACUGGGGAACUGCGUCUGAGACUGAUGGACUUGAGGGCAGGAGAGGAACGCGGAAUUCCAGGUGUAGCGGUGAAAUGCGUAGAUAUCUGGAGGAACACCGGUGGCGAAGGCGGCGUUCUGGACUGUUUCUGACACUGUAAAACGAAAGCCAGGGAGCAAACGGG